AUGAAGUUUUCGGAUGGAUUUAAAACAGCUUAGUGGCGGACGGGUGAGUAACGCGUGGGUAACCUGCCUCAUACAGGGGGAUAACAGUUGGAAACGACUGCUAAUACCGCAUAAGCGCACAGGAUUGCAUGAUCCAGUGUGAAAAACUCCGGUGGUAUGAGAUGGACCCGCGUCUGAUUAGCCAGUUGGCAGGGUAACGGCCUACCAAGGCGACGAUCCAUAGCCGGCCUGAGAGGGUGGACGGCCACAUUGGGACUGAGACACGGCCCAAACUCC
rnacentral:rRNA from 1 species